rnacentral:rRNA from 1 species
UACGAAGGGGGCUAGCGUUGUUCGGAAUUACUGGGCGUAAAGCGCACGUAGGCGGAUUUGUAAGUCAGGGGUGAAAUCCCGGGGCUCAACCUCGGAACUGCCUUUGAUACUGCAAGUCUCGAGUCCGAUAGAGGUGAGUGGAAUUCCUAGUGUAGAGGUGAAAUUCGUAGAUAUUAGGAAGAACACCAGUGGCGAAGGCGGCUCACUGGAUCGGUACUGACGCUGAGGUGCGAAAGCGUGGGGAGCAAACAGGGAUUAAGAU